rnacentral:lncRNA from 1 species
UUAAGAAAGAUCAAUAAUUUAAUCAAUAGAUAUUGGGAUUCUAAUCUACCUUAGGGUUGGUUUGAAUUGGUUAGAUUUUAGUUAGGAUUUGGUUUAGGAUUUAGGGUUUAUUUAAGAUUUAGGAUUUGUCUAAGGUUUGAUUUAGGAUUUAUUUAAGAUAUAGGAUUUAUCUAGGAUUUGAUUUAUGAUUUAUGAUUUAUUUAAGAUUUGAUUUAAAGUUUAAGAUUUAAUUAGAAUUUGACCUAAGAUUUAAUUAAGAUCCAUUAAGAUUUCAAUU